rnacentral:rRNA from 1 species
AUGAAUGCUGGCGGCGUGUCUAAGGCAUGCAAGUCGAGCGAUUCCGACGGGUUCGCAAGAAUCUGUCGGGGUAGCGGCAAACGGGUGCGUAACACAUUGGCGAUCUACCUCGAAGUCGGGCAUAACUCCGCGAAAGCGUAGCUAAUUCCACGAUGGCCAUCACAGCGUAAGGCUGUGAUGUAAAGCGCAAAACGCGCUUCGAGAGGAGCCUAUGGCCUAUCAGCUAGUUGGCGGGGUAACAGCCCACCAAGGCUAUGACGGGUAGGGGAUGUGAGAGCAUGAUCCCCCUCACUGGGACUGAGACACUGCCCAGACACCUACGGGUGGCUGCAGUCGAGAAUAUUCCCCAAUGGACGAAAGUCUGAGGUAGCGACGCCGCGUGCAGGACGAAGGCCUUCGGGUCGUAAACUGCUUUUAUCAGGGAAGAAUUAUGACGGUACCUGAAGAAUAAGAGGUUGCUAACUCUGU